GAUGUUGUUGUGGCGUCAGGAGGAAGUUUUGACAUGUUGUUAUUGUGAGGGCUCCAUGGUGAGAGCAAUCAGCUCACGGAAACUUUGAGCGUGGGUGAGAAGUUUGGCUGGAAUUCCAGUGCAGCUCAACACUUUAGAUCCUCCAUGCUUAAUGGCUGCCGCCAAUCCGUUCACACAAGGUGCUUCCCUGAACAGCCUUUUGGAAGAAUCUAUCAGGAAAAUCCGUAACAACAAGGCACAUUGUGUGGCGGCCCCUUGUGGCCGGUGUAAUUUGAACGGACAGCGACGUGAAUGAAGUCCAUUUUGCCACAGCCGCUUUCAUUUGGCCAUGAUGAAUAGCGCUCUGUGCCACAGGAGAGCGGUCACUCACACUGAGGAUCACGCCCGGACGGCAGAGGGCUUUCCGUGCCGUUACAGGUUAUUAAUCGCCGGGUCGCUUCGCUCUGGUGCUUCUUGCCAGAGAUGGAGGACUUGACACGGGCAGAGGUGCCAUGCUGAAGGAGUGUAUCACAGUCUGGGAGCUGGGCCUUCACAUUCAGCCCAGAACAAAAGGCUUUCUUGUGAUAGAUUGGCAGAGCUUUUCUCUGUGCCUCCACAGGCCUCUUCUGCCCAUUUCUUUAGUAAUGCUCUUGUUAGUGCACCGCAGUUUCCUGUCUUCGCUGGUUUCGCUUCUGGUUUUUUUAAAAAAAAGCUGUAACUUAGGCAAGAUUAAAUGCGUCAUACUGCUCAUUUGAUAUCGUGUUGUGCUGUUAACGAUGAUGUAUCUAUUUUUUAUGGGUCCAUUUCUCAAGCUCUAAUCUUUAUGCUUGUUAGUUACUCUACCAUUCAGAAGACAUCAAUACUUUUAUUCUGCAAGGACACAUUCAAUUGAUUAAAAGUGACAAGACAUUUACAGAAUUUAAAAGAAUCCUGGAAAAGAAAAAUAGCACAGUUCCCACAAUAAAUAUUUUAAUGACAUACUGACUUUGGACCUAUAGGGUACAUCAAUGGAAAAAGUGUGUAUUAAUUAUUAAUCAUUUUAAAACAAACAUAUUAUUUUUCAGUAUACUCUGUAAUAGGGAACUGCAGAACCAAAAUACAGUCAACAUUUGAAGUGGAUAUUCUUCAAAAUUCAUGUAUAACUUUGAAAGGUUUUGAUCCACUUCACUGUAUAUUACUGCAAUAAACUAUAUUAUUUUAAUAUAUAUUUUUUUAGGAAUUCACAAUAUAUUGGUACCAAGUCUCUUGAUAUUAGACUUCAUCUAAUAUCUAAUAUCUUAGAUAUUAGACUUUAUCAGUAUCAGAUGAUAUUGGAUAUUUACUUUUACGUAUUAUACCAUCGAAUGUUAGGUUAAAGUAGGUAUACACUUUUAUCAUUUAAAAUGGUAGUUUUUAGUGUUUAUCUUUGAGUUAUUUAGUCAAACUAAUAAAUAGUUUUAAUAUCAAGUGACAAGUUCUGUAUCUAUUGGUGCAUCUCUGAUUAUUGUAGUGUCAUACAUUUCAAUAUCAAAACAUAACAUUGGCUCAACCAAUGGCACGAGUUGAGGCUGUUUAUCAACCAAUGGUUGAGUGUUUGGAAACCUGUCUAUAAACAUAGUUUUUGCAAUUCCAUUUUUUAAAAAAUUUUUAUUAAGUGAGCAUUUAAAAAAUAAAACCAGCAGAAUAUUUUCACACAAAGUAUCAUUAAAAUACAGGGCAGAAGUUUUAACCUUUUGUUUGAAACAUUUUCCAGCCUUCUGUCAUUCUUUCCCCCUCGUAGAUUCAUUGGAUUUGCUAAGCAUCUUCCGAAGUCGUUCUGCUCACCAGUCUGAGGCCUUCAGUGGCCGUGAGCGUGCAGCCGAGCGGAGAGGUUUGAGACUGAAGAAUGUGGGUCAUGUUUAAGUCCACUCGUGCACUGAACCACAUCUUCCCAUAAAGUCUUUAUGCAAUCCAUCUGUGGCUGUCAGAGCAAGCCUGAGCGUUCUGUUUGUGUCUGUGCUGCCACCAAUUACUAUCCAUAUUCCCUCGGGGAGCCUCCAUUGAACCUGGCUCUGAGAUUUUACACAAAGCCAAUUUGUCUGUGUUUUAAAGUCCCAAAUAUCACAGUUUCACAGCAGCUUUGUUUUGUUUGACAAAUGAAUCCGAGUUGAGUGGAUCUUAUCAGCAUCCUUUCCUCUUGUCGGGUUGAUACGAGUGUGAUUCUCUGGGGUGAAGCCGUGCCUGUGUAAGCAGAGAGCUGUGUGUUCUGUGUGCGGCGUUUUAAUGCGCAGCACUGCAGGGCUUUGCAUUGCAUGCACAUUUAUAUCUCUAUUCAGCUUGUUUAUUUAGCCUUGUAGCCAUAUGGCAACAUUAGAUUUUUUUUUUUCUUCACUUUUAUUAAUCACAAAAACUCUAUUACAUUGUUGGAAAUCAUGGAGCAGGCAUUAAUGUAACUAAUAAAAUUGUUUUUUUUUUUUUAAAGCUAUGUAACCUUUGAUAAUGUUAUGAACCUUUGAUAAUGUUAUCUGUAUCUUGUUUUAAUGUUUGCUGACUGUAUCUAAAUGUUGUUGUUAACUGAUCAACUUUUAUUUAUCGAUUUACGCAAUGUUUAUGAAAGUAUAAUUGCAUUUAACCAUUACCCAAUCAUGAUCCUGCUAAACUAAACUGGGGAUUUUGUCUAAAUACAUACAGAUUUUUCUGUUGUUUUACCAUGAUUUUCUUAUUUUAUCAUCAGCAGUUUUUAUAUAUCAAAUUCCAGAUGUAUGUUUAU